rnacentral:lncRNA from 1 species
AAGAAAAAAAAAAACAAAAAAGGAACAAACUGAGAGUGUGUUUUUGCUGAGCUGAAAAACCUCCAGCCCGCUUCUGAGUUGGAGGGAAAUGCUGCCCAUGCUGUCAGAUGUGAGCACUGAAGGAGCUGUGAGAUUUGCUGUGGGACUGAACAGAAGUUUAGGAGAAGAGGCUGGGUUUGUAUGGGCGCUUUCUUGCCUUGCACUUUUCUAGGUCUCUCACUGUCAGUGUAGCCAUCAGCAGUGCAACAGCAUCACUGCAGCACGAGUCAUUCACAUCAGAGCCCAGCAGCAGGCAAAGAAAAACCUCCUGCAAAACAGCAGGUGGGAAUGGCUCCAAAUGUGGCAGGUUCACAGGUGCCCAUAGCACGGCUGCACUCAUGAGCACGUGUGCAGAUAAAACGUGCCAGCAUGAAGGCUCCCUGCACCAAAGCGUGCCCUGGCUGUGUGAACCCCAGGAUGCAAAGCCUGCCUUCCCCCAGGCACCACAAGGACGCUUUGCGCAGCCUGCUUAGCAUUCAUAUGGCACAUGGGCACCAGCAAGCUGAAACCCCAACUUUUAAGCCCACAGCUGUCUCUUUUUGAGGAGGGAAGGAGAGGGGAGGAGGGGGAGGGCGCUGGGUUUUGCCAAGGUUAGAAUUCAGCGUGGGACCAUGCUGUGAGCGGAAGCAAGGCUUGGCUUGGGAGACAACAAACCAGCAAGAAAAAGAGGCGUUCACAUUGCAACCUGGGGCUGCUCGGGAGCCAGCUGUGCCAGCGAUACAUCCAAGCAGCAGUUCCAGCUCUACUCCAGCAAAACCAGUGCAAGAAGAGCCCAGGUGGCAUGCACCUGCUUGCCGAGGAUGCUCGGCCACCCCCUGCCACUUAUUGCUCACAUUUUUCCCUGUCCUGCCUUGUCGUGAUGGGCCUCUGUCACUUUCUGAUGAGGUGCAGAAGUGGAGGCAAAAUCAAAUGCAGCAGCUCCGUGUGACGGAGGGCUCCCUGCAGGGGUGAGCCCAGCACGUGCUCUGCUGUGCUCCCAGGUGCCUUUUUGUGUUACCAAGAAUAAUAAAAGGAAUCCCUGUAGUUAUUUCUGUACCA